rnacentral:rRNA from 1 species
GUGAUUAAUUAAAUGGCCGCGGUAUUUUGACCGUGCAAAGGUAGCAUAAUCAUUAGCCUAUUAAUUGUAGGCUUGUAUGAAUGGUUGGACGAAAUAUUAACUGUCUCAUAUUUAUUUUAUAUAAUUUAAAUUUUAAGUUAAAAUGCUUAAAUUUUUUUAUAGGACGAGAAGACCCUAUAGAUCUUUAUUUUUAACUUAUUUUUUUGAUUUGGUUUAUUAUCAACUUAAUUAGUGUAAUUAUUUUGUUGGGGUGACAUAGGGAUAGUUAAAACUCUUUAUUUUUUUUUUCAUUAAUUUAUGUAUUAUUUGACCUUUUAUUAUUGUUUUAAGAUAUAGAUACCUUAGGGAUAACAGCGUAAUUUUUCUUGAGAGUUCUUAUCGACAGAGUAGAUUGCGACCUCGAUGUUGGAUUAAGAUUAUAAUUAGGUGCAAAAGCUU